rnacentral:misc_RNA from 1 species
GUGAAGAACGUAGCGAAAUGCGAUAAGUAAUGUGAAUUGCAGAAUUCAGUGAAUCAUCGAAUCUUUGAACGCACAUUGCGCCCGCCAGCAUUCUGGCGGGCAUGCCUGUUCGAGCGUCAUUUCAACCCUCGACUUCCCUUUGGGGAAAUCGGCGUUGGGGACUGGCAGCAUACCGCCGGCCCCGAAAUGGAGUGGCGGCCCGUCCGCGGCGACCUCUGCGUAGUAAUCCAACCUCGCACCGGAACCCCGACGUGGCCACGCCGUAAAACACCCCACUUUCUGAACGUUGACCUCGGAUCAGGUAGGAAUACCCGCUGAACUUAAGCAUAUCAAUAAGCGGAGGA